rnacentral:pre_miRNA from 1 species
AACAUAUUCCCUUCGUCCGGAAUUACUUGUCACGGAAAUGAAUGUAUCUAGACGUAUUUCAGUUCUAGAUACAUUUUUUUAUCCAUUUCUGCGACAAGUAAUUCGGGACGGAGGAAGUAUUAA